ensembl:lncRNA
GGAGGCAUCGGGCGGCCCGGUACUGGCGGCGGAAGCGUGGCUCCAGCUCCGUGCCCUUGGCUUUACGCGGGCGGACCGAACAUCCCCAGGGACAGGGGGUGCCUCAUCAGCCUCUGUCGUGGCGGCCCCUCCGGGCUGGGGCCUCUCGCUAGGCCGUCUGCCGCCGCGGGGCACCGGGCUGCUCUGAGGUACCACCCGCUGGCGCAAAGAGUGACAGAGAGGAGGCGCAGGCGGGCACGGUGAAGCCCGUGACUCCUGCGAUGGCUUUAAAUAACGGUUACGGUGUUGGAGGAUCGGUAAUUAAGAUUAGUCAGCGCUUGUUCAGAACAAGUAACAUAGAGCGCGGUCUCCUCACGGUAUGUGCGCACCGCAGUGCCUCUGCAAACGGGCAGCGACGCAAAAAUCAACGUGUUUUGGCACUAGGCCGAGCGUCGCCUUUGCUAGAUGUGCUCCGGGUCUCACCUGAGUAGCGACUGCUGUUCUCCCUGGAGAGCUGAUGUGAACAAGCAGUGGCUUUGGUGUAAGGUAACCCAGCUGUCAAUCAGGGCAGCAGAACUGGGUGCUGUGAAGACUCUUUAGACCAACUGUGAAGGUGAAUAUCAACUAAAAAUCAGUUUAAAGCACAGUAAGCAAAGAACCAAGCCAAUCACGGAGAUGCAGAAACCUCUCUCUGCUCAGGUAUCGCAGCUGCCAGGUAAGCGGCUGUUUCCUGAGGCACCGAUCGCUGCCUCUCCCCAGCAAUUCCUUCAUAAGCAGACCACUGCACUUCUAAAGAAAUCAGUAUGUGGAAUUACGCUAGAACUAUCGCUACAGUAGGUAUUUCAGUGAGGAGAGCACGCAGCUGAACGCGAUACACAAGCAAACAGCACAGCUCAGGCUGCGUGUCAGCAGAGCGCAAGCAGCCUUUGCUGUGUUAUACUCAGCAAGCCUCAAUUAACAUGCUCAAUCAAAAGCUGCUAGCCCUUAUCAAGAACAGCAGAGUGCAGUAAGUUUUAGGGCAAACAUUUAUUCUAAAACCUGUUUUUUUUUUUAAUCUUAAAGCCAAAAAGUAUUUGGCAUGAUCCUCAAAAAGUUCUGUGCUCUUUCCCCUUUCCUUUUAGCACUCCCCUAAGAUAUUUUGCUUCAUUUCUUCAUGGUAUUUCUGGGAAGCUAUUUUGGCAUAGGCUUAUGCAUUUAACAUUUAAAAAAACCUGUUUUAGCUCUGGCAGCAAUUAUUUUUACAUUUAAAAAUACUAAAUGAAUUAAAAGCCCAAAGUUUGAGACAUUCAAAAUAUAUGUAUUAUAUAAUAUAAUCUUGUAUUAUAACAGUUUACCAUGUGGUAAUACAGAUCAUAAUAAGGACAGCAGAGUAAACGUGCAAAAGCAAAUUAUUUGGCAUUAUGGAUCCACUUUUAAUUAAUACUUUUAAUACAGUCAAAAUCUAAAUAAGCAUAUUGAGUUAGAUAUAAAGUGUUCAGCCAUCACAUUUCAGCCACCAUUUUAAAUGAAAUUUGUUAUGCAUCUUUACCAAGAACCAUCUACUUAGUAGAGGAUUUUAAGUGAUCAGGCCAAUGGAGUGGGAAACAAGAACAGAAGACAAAAGAGGACAUCUCAGAUACUACUACAGACAAUAAAUGUGGCUUUUUAAGUGAUGGCCCAGUAAAUCAUUUUGCACUCUGCUUGUUCUGACAACAGUCCUUUACUUGGGUAUUGUAAUUCAAAUUCCAAUUCUUUUAUUUUGGAUAAAAGAUGCAAGUCAUAAUCCAGAUAUCGUUACUGUACUCACUCUUUAAAUGUCUCUUUAACCUUACUUUAUUUCCCACCUCUUAGGGUAAUUUAACCUUUUGAAGUUUAUUCUGCUAUCUGCAUACAAAUUGCUAUUUUAAGCUCCAACACUGAGCUUUUAAAACGUUGAAGCUUUUUCAUUAAAUAAGUUUAAAUCCAAAAGAAAA